rnacentral:lncRNA from 1 species
GAGAGUGCUUGCUGUGUAACAAAUGCUGCAUAACAAGCUAUAAAUAUUCCUGCUGAAGUUAGUUUGUAACUUCAAGUCAGAGAUGGAAAAUAUCAAUGGUGAAAAAAUAAUAUUGAUUUUUCAUGUUAAAAAGACACUUUUUCCAGGCUACAAAACUAACUCUUGCUGAAUUUGAAGAGAAAUUCUUCUUCCUUUAUUUUCUAAGUAUCUUUUGUUUUAUUAUGUGUAUUCCAGCUAUGUAUGCAUCACAGCCCUUCUCCUUCUUUUUCAGUAUUAUAUCUAUGGUUUUCUCAUUGUUGUCUUUAUGCCAUGUCAUUUUACAUGGUACUUUGUAGGUUUUGAUGAGAAAGUUGGUAUUUUUUUAAUGUACUAAAAAAUUAGUUUUAACUGGAGAGUUUGUCAAUACAACUUUCAGAUCAGUUAAUUAAGAUAAAAGGCAUUCAGUAUCCACAGGUGAGAGGAAUAAGUCAGUUAGUUUUCUUUUUUUCUGCUUGUAAAAGAAAAAAAAUCUUACACAAAGUGUGGCAAAUAUUUGCUAAAAAAUAUAUCUCAGAAAUUAAAUUUUUAAGAAAGCUAAUGGUGAGUGAAAUUUUUUAAAUUUAAUUUUCUAUGAUAUAGCACAACUUAACGUUUCCGUGCAGAAUCUUCUAUUUUUAAGUGUGAAUGUUAAAGUUUGUAAAAUAAUAAAAUGACCUCUGUGGAUUUAAAAUUUGGAAUAAUAUUUCUUUUUUAUAUUGAUAUUACAAUUUGAAAAAAUCUCUCAGUCUUAUAU